AGUGAACGCUCGCGGUAGGCCUAACACAUGCAAGUCGAACGGCAGCACAGUAAGAGCUUGCUCUUACGGGUGGCGAGUGGCGGACGGGUGAGGAAUACAUCGGAAUCUACUUUUUCGUGGGGGAUAACGUAGGGAAACUUACGCUAAUACCGCAUACGACCUACGGGUGAAAGCAGGGGAUCUUCGGACCUUGCGCGAUUGAAUGAGCCGAUGUCGGAUUAGCUAGUUGGCGGGGUAAAGGCCCACCAAGUCGAGGAUCCGUAGCUGGUGUGAGAGGAUGAUCAGCCACACUGGAACUGAGACACGGUCCAGACUCCUACGGGAGGCAGCAGUGGGGAAUAUUGGACAAUGGGCGCAAGCCUGAUCCAGCCAUACCGCGUGGGUGAAGAAGGCCUUCGGGUUGUAAAGCCCUUUUGUUGGGAAAGAAAAGCAGCAGGUUAAUACCCCGCUGUUCUGACGGUACCCAAAGAAUAAGCACCGGCUAACUUCGUG
rnacentral:rRNA from 1 species